CGACAGACUCUCACAUGAAUGCACACAUUGGAUUCCCUCCUUCCCACGUCUUUCACACACUCCCCCAGAGCCCGUGAGGAGGAAGCACUAAAGUAGACCCCUCUAGCUCUGGCGGCGGCUGCUUUUCUUGCAACUUACAGUCAGUCUGUCUCUGUCUAGUCCCCUUUACUAAUCCUUUCUUCCCUGUCCUGGUGGUUCCCUGCACCUUUACCCAUCUUCCCAACAUCAACCUGCUCUUUUGAUGGCUAUCCUCAGAGACCUUCGCGGAAGCCUCACUAUUUCCACCUGUCACAGCCGAACUGUCUCGCAUCUCAAGUUUGGAGGUACUUGGUUUGCUGCUGGAGCUUUUGCCGCCGCCGCCGCCGCUGCUAUUUCCUUCUCUAUUUCUUCCUCCUCCUCCGUUUUCUCUUUUUCUUUCUCUUCUUUGGUGCGAGGUUAAGCUUAAAGCCGAGGAGUACAGCUGGAGUCCUGGAGCCCAUGGCAGGAUUACCCGCCUCCCUAAAUUCUUCUUCCUCAUCCUUCUCAGCACCUCUGCUCCCUCGCUUCCUCCCGGCGAAGCCUUGGGAGAGCAACAUCUGGAGCAGGUGAGCAGCUGCUGUGGAGCUCCAGUCCAAGAGCAGAAGGUCCGCUUUCGCCCCGGAGCUACAACUCUCUCUCUCUCUCUCUCUCUCUCUCUCUCUCUCUCUCUCUCUCUCUCUCUCUCCAUACACUCACACGCACACACACACACAUACAUAUACGAGAGGCAGCCGCUACACACGGAGAAAAAGAAACGGGGCUAAGGAGAAGAGGGAGAACCAGAAGAACCCCGUUUUUCUAUAUUUUGGUCAACUUGGCACGAACCACUGCAGAUGCACCACAGGUUACAGUUGGGGGGUCUCGCUGCCUCCCGGUAGCGGCGCAGCAGCAGGUCACGGUGGCGCCUCUGGUGUUGGCGCUCGGGUGUUGGUGUUGGCCGUGCGGCGGCGGCGGCUGCUGCCAGGGACCGUCAGUAUCCAACGGUGCCCUGUGAUCGCCACCCGCCCCCUCCCUCCCUCUCCCCCGCCCCAACCUCUGUUAACCAUCGCUAAGUAACCUUCUCCUCCGGCUGCGGCGGUCCCGGGUGACAUGCAGUCCCUUAUCUCUCCGGUGACCAAGGCGAUUCUGGUGGCUUUGUUCAUCUUUGCCAUCCUCCUGAUCCUCUAUGUUAUCCUUUGGUACAUCUGCCGCGAUGUGGAUUGCGACCACGGCAUCUGAGUCGGGCUGCGGGGCAGCCUUGGAGCUGGAGACUGCUUGACAGUGGAGUCUCUCAAGGGGGGGAGGGGGCUUGAUCAAAAGAGAGCCAGACACAGAAGAAAAGAUCUGGGGUUUAAAAAAAGAAAGAAAGAAAGAGUGAGAGAGGUGGAGGGGAAGGACGGUGGUGGAGACGAGGAAAAAAAAAAAAGAGAGAGAGAGAAAAGGUGGGCAUGGGGGUGGGGAAGGAAAAAGCAGCCGUCAACUCCUCGGAUCCUACAACCUCAUCGAAACCUGGCAGGCGACAACUACAUCUAAGCACCGGCGACGUGGAAUUGACCUUCAGACAGCAGGGUCACCCUGUGCCCAGUGAGGGACUUGAAAGCUCUGGACAGUGUGGAGUCAUCCCUUGCCCUACUACACCACAAGAGCAGCACAGACAGGCAUACAUGGUGCCAUCAAGGUGCCAUGAUUCUGAUGUGGAGGGACGCCUUUGAGGGAUGGAAGGGGGAGACUUUGCUCCUGGGACUGUCAUGUCAACAAGAGUGCUGAUGGUGCAAUUUUGUGGGGACGGAGGGUGGGGCAGACAAUAUAUGGAUUGACGCCAUCGGCAGCCAUCACCCAUCUCACCUAAUAGUCCAAUGACUGGGCCCUCUCAACAGCUGGGGUCAAGGCCUCCAUCACAUCUCUUUGCUGGUAUUCUGAGCCAUCCCACCUGGCCCGUCUCUCCUCCCUCUUUCUUGUGGAGUCCUCAUCGACCUCCUUGCUUAUGCACGGUACUGAACCAGCAGGGCUCUCUGUUUAAAAUAUCUGUGAGGCAGCUUUGUGGAGAUUUUUACUUUUACAUACAUGACUAGAGAAGUCCUGAGGACAAUCAGCAUCAGAUUGUAACAUCUUUAAGGUAGGUGACAUCUGGAGUCUCGCCUACUUCAUUUUCCAAUGGAUUUUCUCAGUAAAGUUUGUAAACAAGUUAACUGUCUUCUAGCUUGUUUUUGCAUGAGGGAUGUGCUCAAGGGAACAGUCAUGAGUAAUUCAAUUAUGGCCCUCUUCUUUUUUUUAUUUUUUUCCCAAAGUUACCCCAGAUGAUUUUAUUUUAGUGGUCAUAAUAAAAAAAAAUGCUGCUCCCAAAAAUAAAUAGCCAAGUAAUUAAAGACUAUGAACUUUCAAUGUGAAAGAAGAAAGCCAAUAGGCAUAUAGUAUGCCAGCAUCUCAUUCAUAUUGGAGUGUUAACAAAUUCAUUUUUAUGACAUAGUGCAAUUUCAUUGCAUAGUUUGAGGGGCACCAAGGAUGUGCAGUUUUGCACUUUUGUUGAAAACUUCAGGGAAAACAGAUUACACAAGCAUGAGAAUUGCCAGGUGAUCUUUGUGUUAUCUCUAUGAAUGUAUUUGAAAAGUUAUGACCCAGCAAUGUUAGCUCUCCAUACCAUCCAUAUGCAUCAUAAUAAAUUAUUUUGUAAGCUUUUCUAAAUGCUAUAAUAAUUCUGUCUUUCAGGUUUGAUGUGGCACCUUAGUGUUGUCUUGUCACAUCUCUGUCUCUCCACAUGAAAAGAGGCAAUAAAGACAAUGCUCAGACAAUAUGGCUAUUCAAGAAAAUAAAAAAUAUUUUUGAAACUGUAUGACAUAGUACCACUCUUUGAUUCACAAUGUGCAAAGAAAACCACAGCUCAUGAAAGUACACAUGGCAUUAGCAAUUUGGGGAUAGAACAUUAAUACUAUAAACUGUGGUCAUGCUGAAGAGCAAAUGUUAACAGGAUGAAAUGUGUUAUUAUUCAAUGGUGAGGACUUCAGACUAACCCUCUGAGGUCAUGAGAAAAUGAUCCUACUCUCAUAUCUAAUGCUUAGAAUACAUGUCAAAGAAGGGACUUUUUUAUUAUAGAAACACAUUGUUAAAAUGAUUAAAAGUAUCAGCAAGAUUUUUUUAUUAUAAUUUAGAAGUCACAAAUAUUUUGAAGAUAUUCUAAAUUUCCAUUUGUUUUCCUCAACAAGAAGGCCACAUUGCUCUAUAUCUCAAAGGACACAAGCAGUACACUUUAACUAGAACUGGGAGAAAAUACCUCAGCUGGACCAUUUCCAAGAUUUUCAGUUUGAAUUGGUCUCUUGCCUUAUUUGAGGGAAUGUGAACAACUAUUAUGAAUGGAUUUAGAAGCAAUUUGGGUACAUUAUCAGAAUGGACAUAAUAAUGCCUCAGAGCAAUUACAGCAUACCAGGGAAAUUUCACUUGCACAUAGUCUGGUCUAUGAAU
rnacentral:lncRNA from 1 species